GCCGCGGUCGCCUAAUGGUAUGGCGCCGGUCUGAGCAACCGGUACCCGUAAGGGUAUCUGGGUUCAAAUACCUUUCGGUUGCUUGAAUCGUUGGGUUGAAUUUCCCCGCCGCGGCG
rnacentral:tRNA from 1 species